rnacentral:rRNA from 1 species
UCAGCUUGUUGGUGGGGUAACGGCCUACCAAGGCAACGACGGGUAGCCGGCCUGAGAGGGUGACCGGCCACACUGGGACUGAGACACGGCCCAGACUCCUACGGGAGGCAGCAGUGGGGAAUAUUGGACAAUGGGCGAAAGCCUGAUCCAGCAACGCCGCGUGGGGGAUGACGGCCUUCGGGUUGUAAACCUCUUUCAGCAGGGACGAAGCGCAAGUGACGGUACCUGCAGAAGAAGCACCGGCCAACUACGUGCCAGCAGCCGCGGAAAUACGUAGGGUGCGAGCGUUGUCCGGAAUUAUUGGGCGUAAAGGGCUCGUAGGCGGUUUGUCGCGUCGGGAGUGAAAACUCAGGGCUUAACCCUGAGCCUGCUUCCGAUACGGGCAGACUAGAGGUAUGCAGGGGAGAACGGAAUUCCUGGUGUAGCGGUGAAAUGCGCAGAUAUCAGGAGGAACACCGGUGGCGAAGGCGGUUCUCUGG